rnacentral:rRNA from 1 species
UACGAAGGGGGCUAGCGUUGUUCGGAAUUACUGGGCGUAAAGUGUGCGCAGGCGGCGAAGCAAGUCGAGUGUGAAAGCCCCGGGCUUAACUUGGGAAUUGCGCUCGAAACUACUUUGCUGGAGUGUGGCAGAGGAAGGUGGAAUUCCACGUGUAGCGGUGAAAUGCGUAGAGAUGUGGAGGAAUACCGGUGGCGAAGGCGGCAUCCUGGACCGACAUUGACGCUGAACGGCGAAAGCUAGGGGAGCAAACGGG